rnacentral:rRNA from 1 species
GCAGUCGAGCGGUACAGGGGGUGCUUGCACCCCGCUGACGAGCGGCGGACGGGUGAGUAAUGCUUAGGAAUCUGCCCAGUAGUGGGGGAUAGCCCGGGGAAACCCGGAUUAAUACCGCAUACGUCCUACGGGAGAAAGCAGGGGAUCUUCGGACCUUGCGCUAUUGGAUGAGCCUAAGUCGGAUUAGCUAGUUGGUGGGGUAAAGGCCUGCCAAGGCGACGAUCCGUAGCUGGUCUGAGAGGAUGAUCAGCCACAUCGGGACUGAGACACGGCCCGAACUCCUACGGGAGGCAGCAGUGGGGAAUAUUGGACAAUGGGGGCAACCCUGAUCCAGCCAUGCCGCGUGUGUGAAGAAGGCUUUCGGGUUGUAAAGCACUUUCAGUGAGGAGGAAGGCUCUGAAGUUAAUACCUUCAGGGAUUGACGUUACUCACAGAAGAAGCACCGGCUAACUCCGUGCCAGCAGCCGCGGUAAUACGGAGGGUGCAAGCGUUAAUCGGAAUUACUGGGCGUAAAGCGCGCGUAGGUGGUUAGGUAAGCGAGAUGUGAAAGCCCCGGGCUUAACCUGGGAACGGCAUUUCGAACUGUCUGACUAGAGUGUGGUAGAGGGUAGUGGAAUUUCCUGUGUAGCGGUGAAAUGCGUAGAUAUAGGAAGGAACACCAGUGGCGAAGGCGGCUACCUGGACCAACACUGACACUGAGGUGCGAAAGCGUGUGGAGCAAACAGGAUUAGAUACCCUGGUAGUCCACGCCGUAAACGAUGUCAACUAGCCGUUGGGACUCUUGAAGUCUUAGUGGCGCAGCUAACGCACUAAG